rnacentral:lncRNA from 1 species
GUAGGUUUUAGUUCAACUGAAGAAUCAACUAUCAGGGCUAUCAGACAACGGAAUUCAAUACUUUAAGAUGGAUUUUUUGAUUGACCCUUUUCAGCUGGUGGCAGAAGAGCACUUGGCAAUGAAUCUGUAUGGAGGAUUCAGCAUUGACUCCUCCUUUGUUCCCUGAUGGAGUCUCACUCUAUUGCCCAGGCUGGAGUGCAAUGGCGUGAUCUCAGCUCACUGCAACCUCGGCCUCCCGGGUUCAAGCGAUUCUUCC